ACGUAGGGGGCAAGCGUUAUCCGGAAUUAUUGGGCGUAAAGAGUGAGUAGGUGGUUUUGUAAGCGCGGGGUGAAAGGCAAUGGCUCAACUAUUGUAAGCCCUGCGAACUGCAAGACUUGAGUGCAGGAGAGGAAAGUGGAAUUCCUAGUGUGUCAGUGAAAUGCGUGGAUAUGAGGAGGAGCAAUAGAGGCGUAGGCGACUUUCUGGAUUGUAUCCGAUUGUGGGGCAUGUAAGCGUGGUAAGCGGAGUG
rnacentral:rRNA from 1 species